GUUGUUUGUGGAAAAAAGGAGCCAAAAGGCCGAGUCCGUUGUUUGGGUCUGGGACCAACUCCUCAAGACAUUGGUAUCCCAGGACUUAAGGCGUACACAUCGACAAGGCUCCAAAUACAAGUUCUGGCACGUCAGAAGGCUGAAAGUGAGAUUCUAGUGCUACAACAACGUAUCUUGGAUAUGCAACAAAGGGAGGAGCAAAGGAUGGCACAAGGAUCUCCAAACGUCGAAAUAUUCUCACACAAUGGUUCAAACUCAAGACAGCAAUUGAGCCCAAGAUCUGAGGAACUUGGUGAGGCCAAUCAGCAUGUUCAAGGUGAAGAAGAUGACUAUGUAGAGGCAAACAACUAUGAUCAGGAACCGGAUGAUGAGGCCAAUCAGGAAGUUGUUGCCCCUGCAGUCUCGCCUGCCAUUAAUAUUACAACAUCACCAAGCAAUGAUGUCCCACAAUUUACGUGUGAUGCACUUGUAAUCUUCUCAACCUCUCAUGCAUAUAUAUACUUGUGAUUUAAUAGCUGCUGAACCUAGCAUUAAUCCUUUUCUCAUAAAUUCAUCAUCUACUUCAGGCUGGAAAUGAGGUCAUAUUAUUUGCCAUGUCGAGUAAUGAAAAAGUGGCUAAGGCAACUGUUGUUUCAGUUAAUCCACACAAUAAGCUAGCGGGUGUGGCUCUUGGAGCUAAAUUCUGUGAAGUUAUUGUCAAUGUUGUCCUCUGGCGUGAAACAUUAGUGCCACGUCCUUAUGAUGAAAUAAAGACACUAGGGGAUGCUGUAAAGAUGCCGAUUACCUGGCCCUUUAAUCGAAUGAAGGUCUGCAGUCAGCAACCAAGACGUUCUCAGGAUGUUGCUGCAGGAUCAUCUCAGAGACGCUAGGCGGCGCUAGCUUUGUUGGAAGGAAGGGUGUUGGGAGCAAAUAUGCUGCAGGAUCUUCUCAUCGGGUUGUUGCUAGCAACUUGUUGAUAGGAAGCCACUGAAUUAUCAAAUGAUGAUGACCUAGAUGCUUACUUGCAUGCUUUUGGACUACAAUAUGGUAGUUUUAGUUUGUGGACUCCAACCUAUCUUUUGCUCCAUGUUGGAUCACUUUUGGCUAGUGGCUUUCACUCAACAGGAAAACAUUGCUUGUUGUACAACCUAAUGACUUAGCUAGAUUUUGUAUUCAGCUACUAUAUAUGUGCUUGUAUGUUGCCUUGAUGGCAAGAGGCUUGAGCUAGCUAGUGACAUGAUUAUAUAUGUACUCAUUUAAUAUUGAUGAAUGAGAGUAUGAUUAUGCUAUUGUGUA